GUUCACGGCAGUUAAUGGUUUUUCCUUCCUGCUUUAUAUAAAAUUAUAAUCCCAUCGUCUUUCUCUUGACCAACGCGCUGUGUACACUUUAGACUGACUCAGUUCCCGCCGUUGUGACUCGCUCCGGAUUGGCGGUUUGGGCCCUGGUUGUGGGACUCGAUUCGGAUUUUGGAUUUGGUGAGGUUUUAAGGAAAAGCAGAGUAUUCCACAAUGAAGGCGCUGAUUCUUGUUGGAGGGUUUGGGACACGGUUGAGGCCAUUGACCCUCAGUGUACCUAAACCACUUGUUGAAUUUGCCAACAAACCUAUGAUCCUACAUCAGAUUGAGGCGCUUAAGGAAAUUGGAGUGACUGAAGUGGUUUUGGCUAUUAACUACCAACCAGAGGUGAUGUUGAACUUCUUGAAGGAAUUCGAGGCUAAGCUAGGGAUCAAGAUCACAUGCUCUCAAGAGACUGAGCCACUCGGCACUGCUGGUCCUUUGGCUCUAGCAAGGGACAAAUUGAUUGAUGAUUCUGGUGAACCAUUUUUUGUUCUCAACAGUGAUGUCAUCAGCGAGUACCCACUCAAAGAAAUGAUACAGUUCCACAAAACCCAUGGAGGAGAGGCUUCCAUAAUGGUGACCAAGGUGGAUGAGCCAUCAAAAUAUGGUGUGGUGGUUAUGGAAGAAGCUACAGGAAAAGUUGAGAGAUUUGUGGAAAAACCCAAAAUAUUUGUUGGAAACAAAAUAAAUGCCGGAAUUUAUCUGUUGAAUCCAUCAGUUCUUGACCGAAUUGAACUGAGACCCACCUCAAUUGAGAAAGAGGUCUUCCCUAAAAUUGCAGCAGAUAAAAAGCUCUAUGCAAUGGUCCUUCCAGGUUUCUGGAUGGACAUUGGACAGCCAAGAGAUUACAUUACUGGUCUGAGACUCUAUCUAGAUUCCUUGCGAAAGAAAUCCUCAUCUAGGUUAGCCACUGGUCCCCAUGUUGUGGGAAAUGUUUUGGUGGAUGA
rnacentral:misc_RNA from 1 species